CCUUCGAUAGCUCAGUUGGUAGAGCGGAGGACUGUAGUGGGUUCCUAGAAAUCCUUAGGUCGCUGGUUCGAAUCCGGCUCGAAGGA
rnacentral:tRNA from 1 species